UCCUUCGCGUCGUCGAUCGUAACCCUCUCUUUUGUCGAAACCAUCAUCGGUCGUAGCCUCCACUUGCACAGCACCGCCGGACAUCAUCGCGCUUGACAGUCAAGGAUUCAAGCCAUGACAAUUUUCUUUUCGCGAGCCACACGUCCAAGCCGCGUCAGUUCAAGCCGUGUCCCUUCACCGAGCCGCGUGAGUCAUCUCUGUUGAUCCAAGCCGUUCCAUGUAAGCCGUACGCGAGCCAUACACAACUGAGUCGAUCCUGUGUGAGCCGUAUGCGAGCCGUGAGUCUCAAGACCCGAGCCGAAGCCUUGCUAGCCGAGCCACCUUCAGUUUUAGCCGUCUGCAACAUAUUUAAGCCCUUGGUUAAGGUGUGGUUGAGGAAUUGAAUUGUGCAAAUUUCAAUUUAAGGUUGUAUUGAGAUCAACUUUAAAUCUUUGGGGUAAGUUUGAUUGAAUUGGUUGCCUAAUUAAACAGUAAA